rnacentral:rRNA from 1 species
UCACUUUAGGAUGAGCCCGCGGCGCANUAGCUAGUUGGUGGGGUAAAGGCCUACCAAGGCAAUGAUGCGUAGCCGAGUUGAGAGACUGAUCGGCCACAUUGGGACUGAGACACGGCCCAAACUCCUACGGGAGGCAGCAGUAGGGAAUCUUCCACAAUGGACGCAAGUCUGAUGGAGCAACGCCGCGUGAGUGAAGAAGGUCUUCGGAUCGUAAAGCUCUGUUGUUGGUGAAGAAGGAUAGAGGCAGUAACUGGUCUUUAUUUGACGGUAAUCAACCAGAAAGUCACGGCUAACUACGUGCCAGCAGCCGCGGUAAUACGUAGGUGGCAAGCGUUGUCCGGAUUUAUUGGGCGUAAAGCGAGCGCAGGCGGAAUGAUAAGUCUGAUGUGAAAGCCCACGGCUCAACCGUGGAACUGCAUCGGAAACUGUCAUUCUUGAGUGCAGAAGAGGAGAGUGGAACUCCAUGUGUAGCGGUGGAAUGCGUAGAUAU